ACCGACCUCCUUCAUCAUAACAGUCAAGCCACCGACUCCUCCCCCAACUCCGGCUCCAAGUCACCGCCGACCGACCUCCUCCAUCAAGCCAUCAAGCCACCGACCUCUCCCCCAACUCCGGCUCCAAGUCACCGCCGACCGACCUCCUCCAUCAAGCCAUCAAGCCACCGACCUCUCCCCCAACUCCGGCUCCAAGUCACCGCCGACCGACCUCCUCCAUCAAGCCAUCAAGCCACCGACCUCUCCCCCAACUCCGGCUCCAAGUCACCGCCGGUCGUUAAAGGAGUAUUGGAAUUUUCAAUCGUGCACAAUGCAGCGUUAUUUGCUUCGCUUGCAAUUCAAAGAGGAUUAGUAUUGAUUCAGAUACUGUAUUCAAGAAUGAAAAUUUGCAGACGUGAUGUUUGAUUCAGAUAGAUGCAGGAAUUUGUUGUCUCCUACUUGAUGUAUAAUAGCUGUUGUAACUAAACUAUGUUUGAUUGUAGCUCUGUUAUUACUCACUGAUUGUAACUAAACUAUGUUUGAUUGUAGUUGCUCGUGCAACUUGUCAAUUUGAGAAUGUUUCUCAAAUUCUGCCUUUUGAGUCAAAUUCUAGCUUGUAAUUUUUUUUUGUUUGAAUUUCAUUUGACAGGCU